UAAUACGUAGGUGGCAAGCGUUGUCCGGAUUUACUGGGCGUAAAGGGCGUGCAGGCGGUUUGUUAAGUCUAGGGUGAAAGCUCCCGGCUCAACUGGGAGAGGUCCUUGGAUACUGGCAGACUUGAGGAGAGUAGAGGAGAGUGGAAUUCCCGGUGUAGUGGUGAUAUGCGUAGAUAUCGGGAGGAACACCAGUGGCGAAGGCGGCUCUCUGGGCUCUACCUGACGCUGAGACGCGAAAGCGUGGGGAGCGAACCGGAUUAGAUACCCGGGUAGUCCACGCCGUAAACUAUGGACACUAGGUGUGAGGGGUAUCGACCCCCUUCGUGCCAAAGCUAACGCAAUAAGUGUCCCGCCUGGGGAGUACGGCCGCAAGGCU
rnacentral:rRNA from 1 species